rnacentral:rRNA from 1 species
GAUGAACGCUGGCGGCGUGCCUAAUACAUGCAAGUCGAGCGAACGGACGAGAAGCUUGCUUCUCUGAUGUUAUCGGCGGACGGGUGAGUAACACGUGGAUAACCUACCUAUAAGACUGGGAUAACUUCGGGAAACCGGGGCUAAUACCGGAUGAUAUUUUGAACCGCAUUGGUCAAGAGUUGAAGACGGUCUUGCUUUCGCUUAUAGAUGGAUCCGCGCUGCAUUAGCUAGUUGGUACGGUAACGGCUUAACAAGGCAACGAUGCAUAGACGACCCGAGAGCGUGUUCGCACACACUGGAACUGAGAAACGGCCCACACUCCUACGGGAGGAAGCAGUAGGGAAUCUUACGCGAUGGGCGAAAGCCUGACGGAGCACCGCCGGGUGAGUGCUGAAGGUCUUAGGAUCGUAAAACUCUGUUAUUAGGGAAGAACAUAUGUGUAAGUACCUGUGCACAUAUUGACGGUACCUAAAGAAAAAGCCACGGCUAACUACGUG